rnacentral:rRNA from 1 species
UACAGAGGUCUCAAGCGUUGUUCGGAUUCAUUGGGCGUAAAGGGUACGUAGGUGGCGUGGUAAGUCGGGUGUGAAAUUUCGGAGCUUAACUCCGAAACUGCAUUCGAUACUGCCGUGCUUGAGGACUGGAGAGGAGACUGGAAUUUACGGUGUAGCAGUGAAAUGCGUAGAGAUCGUAAGGAAGACCAGUGGCGAAGGCGGGUCUCUGGACAGUUCCUGACACUGAGGCACGAAGGCCAGGGGAGCAAACGGG